GACGUAGGGCGCGAGCGUUGUCCGGAUUUAUUGGGCGUAAAGAGCGUGUAGGCGGCCAGAUAGGUCCGUUGUGAAAACUGGAGGCUUAACCUCCAGCGGUCGAUGGAAACCAUCUGGCUAGAGUCCGGAAGAGGAGAGUGGAAUUCCUGGUGUAGCGGUGAAAUGCGCAGAUAUCAGGAAGAACACCUAUGGCGAAGGCAGCUCUCUGGGACGGUACUGACGCUGAGACGCGAAAGCGUGGGGAGCGAACAGG
rnacentral:rRNA from 1 species